rnacentral:lncRNA from 1 species
UUUUUUUGGUUUUUGAGAAUGCGAAUGAUGAUGAAUGUUGGGUUUUUUUAUUAAUGCAAAGCUCUUAGUUAUUUAUGUUGUUUAUUGCAAGAAAUACUUAACAAUUUACUAUUGUAAUCAAGGAUAAAGAAGUGCACACAAAGUGAAUUAUAAUGAAGCUUCAUUCAUCCUUUGAAGGGAAUAAGACAAGUUCAAGUACAUUGGAAAUUUCAAAAUACAAGUUGUUGAAAUGAAACAACAUGCAAACUAGAUGUCAACCC